GUCUCAUUCCCUCCCUUGCCCCUUCAUGCAUCUGUUGCUUCCAUCCAGCCACUCCAUGUGUAUCAUUCCAUUUCACCAGCCCCUCCAUGUGCCUCAUUCCCUCACCCAAGCCCCUCUAUCAGUAUUAUUUUAUUCCCCCAUCCCCUCCAUGUGCCUCAUUCCCUCCACCCAGAUCCACCAUGCGUAUAAUUCCCUAUCACCCCCAGCCCCUCCAUUUGUCUCAUUCCAUCCCUCCCCUCAAUGUGUCUCAUUCUCUCUCUCCCCCAGUCCUUAAAUGUCUCAUUCCAUCGCUCCCCCAGCCCCUCCAUGUGUCACAUUCACUCCCUACCCCUCCAUGUGUCUCAUUCCAUCCCUACCCCCCCAGCCCCUUUAUGUGUCUGAUUCCCUCACUCCCAGCCUUUCUAUUGUCUCAUACACUCCCUCCCCUUCUUUACCUCACUU